UACGUAGGGUGCAAGCGUUGUCCGGAAUUAUUGGGCGUAAAGGGCUCGUAGGCGGUCCAUCGCGUCGGGAGUGAAAAGCUGGGGCUUAACCCCAGUCCUGCUUCCGAUACGGGUGGACUAGAGGUAGGUAGGGGAGAACGGAAUUCCUGGUGUAGCGGUGAAAUGCGCAGAUAUCAAGCAGAACACCUGCGGCGAAGGCGGCCUUCUGGACGAUGACUGACGCUGAGACGCGAAAGCGUGGGGAGCAAACAGG
rnacentral:rRNA from 1 species